GGUCUAUCAGAAACAACUCUCUACCCCCACAAAGGUAGAGGUAAGGUCUGAGUACAUCCUACCCUCCCAAGACCCCACUUGUGGGAUUACACUGGGUAUAUUUUUGUUGUUGUUGACAUCCAUUACUGUCGUGAUAUUGUGGGCUCAUUCAGUCCAACACCUGCCAAUUCUUUCUUCUAUGUUAGGGACUUCACUCUGGAAUAUUCUUUAGAGAUGAGGAAGACUUCAAUGGGGAAUCUUCCACUUUUCAGCUAGGAGGAUGAAGAUGAUCGAUUGAGCAGAUGUCGAAUGCGACAGGGGCAAUGUGGAGGUUGUAGCAUUGCCAAACUAGUCGGUCAUGGGAUGCCUCCUCCACUCAUCUCUCCUCCCAAAGAGCUGUCCAGUCGUUUCUUGAAGGUCAUUGGAAAGUGAUUGAAAGACCCGCUUAACAUACAUUCCAAUAUACAAUACAUCACCUGAGAAAAACGUGAAGGUUAGGGCUCGAUAGGAUUCAUCUCAUGAAGAUUUAGAUCUGUGGAUGUACAGGGUAGGAAGCAGAGCACCUUUUAGUCCAAAAAAUAUAUUUGGACUUUGAUCAAAGCAAACAACACAACCAACUCUAGCUUCUAAGGCAGAAGUGUUAAGAAUAGCCACUAAUCAGAAGAUAAAGCAUCCUUUAUACGAAAGAUAGAAACAAGUGCUAAGCAUUAUGCUUGUGUGCUUGGUUUAUACCCAUUUUGUAUGCUAUUCCAACAGAUGUACAUUUGGUAGUUACUGCCAGUGAGAAAGCGACUGAUAAUAGAAAUUAGAUUUUACCUUCCACCAUAAAGGAGAAACCCCAAUGCUGCAAAUAGGGAUACACCUGC